rnacentral:misc_RNA from 1 species
GAUGAAGAACGUAGUGAAAUGCGAUAAGUAAUUUGAAUUGCAGAAUUCAGUGAAUCAUCGAAUCUUUGAACGCACCUUGCGCUCCUUGGUAUUCCAAGGAGCAUGCCUGUUUGAGUAUCAUUAAAUUAUCAACUGUGCCAAUUUGGUUACAGAUUGGAUGUGGGAGAUUCUUUUUGCAGGCCUUUGACUUCUCUUUGAGAAAAAAAUAAAAGGUCGGCUCUCCUGAAAUGUAUUAGCAGUGCCUUUGUUGGUUCAUUAGGUGUGAUAAAUUGUCUACAUCUUCACAUGAUACCUUCAUUUGUAAAGGUUAUAUUGCUUCUAAAUUGUCUUUGAUUGGACGCAAAACAUAUAUAAUGUUUGACAAACUUGAUCUCAAAUCAGGCAGGACUACCCGCUGAACUUAAGCAUAUCAAUAAGCGGAGGA